UACGUAGGGUGCGAGCGUUAAUCGGAAUUACUGGGCGUAAAGCGUGCGUAGGCGGUUCUCCAAGUCCGUUGUGAAAUCCCCGGGCUUAACCUGGGAAUGGCAGUGGAAACUAGGGGACUUGAAUCUGGCAGAGGGGGGUGGAAUUCCACGUGUAGCAGUGAAAUGCGUAGAGAUGUGGAGGAACGCCGAUGGCGAAGGCAGCCCCCUGGGCUGAGAUUGACGCUGAGUGCACGAAAGCGUGGGGAGCAAACAGG
rnacentral:rRNA from 1 species